GGCUGGUCCGAGCGCAGUGGCAUUUACAACUAAUUGAUCACAGCUAGUUACAGAUUGUUUCUUCUCCACUCCCAACUGCUUCACUUGACUAGCCUUAA
ensembl:misc_RNA Y_RNA Y RNA